GUGUUUACAGCGUGCAAGAUGAAGCCGGCUGGGGAGGCGGGAAGAAGUACCGUUUGUCUUAGCGGGCCGGCUCGGGUCUCCUCAGAAAAAAUAGCAGCCAGGUCGUUUUAAGCCACACGUUCGUCAUCCAGAACCAUGCGGACGCCGUGUCCCGCCCGGCGCUGGGCCUCCUGUUGGAGCUCGUGUUCGAGACCUGGAAACUAGUAUGAGAUACAAGCUAGUAUCAGAAAACAUUUGACAGAAGACUUAAGAAAAUUGAUCCUUCAAAGCUAUUAUUUAAAUUUAUUUAUUUUUAAUUGUUUAGGUGAGUGGAAUCAGUUUAUGAUUUAAAAAUAUUUUUGUUAAUAACCUUAAAUUUAUCUUUGAUCUAGCUUAACCUAGUAGUCGUGUCAAAAUUCACUUAAGUUUAACAGUGAAAAUGAGCAAGAAAAUAAUUUGAACUGUCUCUGUGGUCAAAAUUUGGUACAUUUCUGUAAUGUUUGUACUGCAGCCACUUCAGGAUGCUAUCAGAGUCUAAGCUGUUUAUGUUUUUAAAAAAUUGAUAUUCUGCAACAGAAAGUUUCUAGAAGGUCUGUUUCUUCCCUGCAUCUCCCUGAGAGGUUGUUUUUUUUGUUUUGUUUUGUUCUGUUUUUUUUUACUUCAUUCAUCUUAAAUGGAGCAAGAGGUAUGUCUAGAAUCUAUAUGGCAUAGUAAGUCCACUGAAAGCAUUCACAGUAAGUUCUAAAAAUGCAAAGUGUUGUCUAGGAGCUGGAGUUUGAAGCAAUUUCUAAACACUCAGUAUUGUGGAAAGCUGUAUAAUUAUGUAAGUAAUUGUACAAUUAACAAAUGUACAGUUAGCAGAGUGGCAUGGUUAGGACAGUAUUUUACAGUUCGAAAGAUUAAAAGAGUAUUGUGGUAGAAAGAGACAAUAAAAGGUAAAUGAAAUGCUCACCUGUGUCCUAGGCUCACAGUAGAAAACUCCAAAGGGAGAGAUCUCCAGAAAAAAAAAUCCUCCCCCAGUGGCAGACCCCUUAAAUGGGGUCUAGAAGAGGUGCAGUCAGGCUCCACCUGUUCUGGUCACACAGCUGAAUUGCCUUCACCUGUGCUCCCACAGCUGACUCAGUGCUUGCCUUAAGUGAUCAGUCAGUGGUUCAAGCUGUGACUGGACAGUUAUCGUACAGUAAUUAAUUUCAUUAUGUUUUAGACAAAUAAGUUGGGGGUGAAGGAAGCAAUAUUUCAUCUGUACUUGUUCCUUAUUAUUAGAAUGGGCUGCUACAUCUGCUUAAAUUGAAAGCACAGAUUUGUUGCCUUUCUUGUGCCAUCUGAAUGUUGAUUUUCACCACAAAGGUUCUAAUAGUAAGAGAAAUGAGCGAAAGAGCACUGAUACUGUCAAGAAGAAAAUUUUAGAUGUUUAGCUUUAAGCCUUAGUAGCUGAAAUACACAGAUUUACUGACCAGAAUAAGAGAAUAAUGUUUGCAAACAGUAUUGUAACAUUUUCUUCUAGUACUGUUAUCCUCUAACAUGUAGAGU
ensembl:lncRNA